rfam:Triticum aestivum genome assembly, contig: Triticum_aestivum_CS42_TGACv1_scaffold_151481_2BS
AUAAUACCCCCUCCGUGUGGAAUUACUUGUCAUCAAAAUGGAUGUGUCUAGAACUAAAAUACAUCUAGAUACAUCCAUUUCAAUGACAAGUAUUUUUGGAUGGAGGGAGUAGUAG